UAUUCUUAUGUUAAGAGGCAAUCACAGAAGACUUUGUUCAGUUGGAUUCCAUUUACAUAAAUCUCAAAAACAGGCAAAACUAAAAACAUUUUGUUUGGGAUAAAUGCAGUCAUAUUUGGUUGAUUCUGAGACAUACCUUUUACUCUAACAUUUUAAUCUCUCUAAAAAGACAUGCAUCUUAUAACCAGUGGUGUCUUGCACAUUUCUUUUUUUUUUUUUUUUUAGGCACCAUUAUGCAUCUCACAAUGUUGGGGGUUUGAAAUUCAAUGAAAUAUAGUAGGUGAUAAAACUAUUUUUAAAAAGUGACAGAAUGACUAACACAAAAUUUAGACCUAUGAUUACCUGUGUUCAGGAGGGGAGGAAGGAGGCUGAGGGAAGGAAGAGGUACCCAGAAGCAUCCCAAAGUACUAGUGUUUUUUUGUUUGUUUGCUUACUGGUGUUUGUUUUAUUAUUGUUAUUUAAGCUUAUUAGACUUUUGCAUGUAUGAAUAUCUUUCACAAUUCAAGAAAAAAGGUGUGCAAGUGGUGGAAGUAUAAUUUUUUUUUUUUGCCACUGUGACCAAAGAAUUUGAGAGAAGAAAAAAUGUAUCUGGCACUCAUAAUUUCAGAAGUCUCAAUCCAUAGAUGGCCAACUCCAUUGCUCUGGGGCCAAGGUGAACAUCAGGGUAGAAGGGUGUGACCCAGGAAAGCAGCUCAGGAUAUGACAGGAAGCAGAGAGAGACUCAGCUUGGCUCACCAGGGACAAAAUACAUACCCAGGAGCACAUCCCCUGUGCCCCACCUCCUCCAGCCACAUCCUGCCAACUAGUUACCACCCAGUCAAUCCAUUCAAGUGGAUUAAUGCACUGAUUAGGUUAAGACUCUAAUAACCCAA
rnacentral:lncRNA from 1 species